AUGGGCUGGCCCAUUCUGGCCCUCGCUGUCACUCAGCACAGGCUAUCAGUGCAGUGGCUUCUGGAGGUGCCAGUCUGGCCCUCGCUGUCACUCAGCACAGUGUAUCAGUGCAGUGACUCGGGGACUGGCCCAGUCUGGCCCUCGCUGUCACUCAGUACACUCUAUCAGUGCAGUGACUCAGGGACUGGGCCGGUCUGGCCCUCUCUGUCACUCAGCACAGGCUAUCAGUGCAGUGACUCGGGGACUGGGCCAGUCUGGCCCUCGCUGUCACUCAGCACAGGCUAUCAGUGCAGUGACUCGGGGACUGGCCCAGUCUGGCCCUCGCUGUCACUCAGCACAGGCUAUCAAUGCAGUGACUCGGGGACUGGCCCAGUCUGGCCCUUGCUGUCACUCAGCACACUCUGUCAGUGCAGUGACUCGGGGACUGGCCCAGUCUGGCCCUCGCUGUCACUCAGCACAGGCUAUCAGUGCAGUGACUCGGGGACUGGCCCAGUCUGGCCCUCGCUGUCACUCAGCACAGGCUAUCAGUGCAGUGACUCGGGGACUGGCCCAGUCUGGCCCUCGCUGUCACUCAGCACAGGCUAUCAGUGCAGUGACUCGGGGACUGGGCCAGUCUGGCCCUCGCUGUCACUCAGCACAGUGUAUCAGUGCAGUGACUCGGGGACUGGGCCAGUCUGGCCCUUGCUGUCACUCAGCACACUCUAUCAGUGCAGUGACUCAGGGACUGGGCCGGUCUGGCCCUCGCUGUCACUCAGCACAGUCUAUCAGUGCAGUGGCUUCUGGAGGUGCCAGUCCGGCCCUCGCUGUCACUCAGCACAGUGUAUCAGUGCAGUGACUCGGGGACUGGCCCAGUCUGGCCCUCGCUGUCACUCAGCACAGGCUAUCAGUGCAGUGACUCGGGGACUGGGCCAGUCUGGCCCUCGCUGUCACUCAGCACAGUGUAUCAGUGCAGUGACUUGGGGACUGGCCCAGUCUGGCCCUUGCUGUCACUCAGCACACUCUAUCAGUGCAGCGACUCAGGGACUGGGCCGGUCUGGCCCUCGCUGUCACUCAGCACAGUCUAUCAGUGCAGUGGCUUCUGGAGGUGCCAGUCCGGCCCUCGCUGUCACUCAGCACAGUGUAUCAGUGCAGUGA
rnacentral:lncRNA from 1 species